ACAGAGUUAGCUGUUGCUUGGGGCUGCGGGAGAGGAGGCUGAAGUCUAUUCAAUUAUGUGUAAAGAAGCGCAAUCCUGGAUAUUUCCAAGCCCUCCCAUCAUUUGGACACAUGGAAGACCACACAAUUCAAGAACACAGUGGGGGAUUACCUACACCGUGCGCUUUCAAGGAGAAAACAGAAUUUUUUACCUUAAAGUUCCUACCAAUGAAUAUACUAGCAUCUGGGAUUUCCUACCUCUUUGGAUGAGCGAUUGAGGAUCCAAGAGCUUAACACAAGUUACGCAGCGAGAAGUAGAGACACCCAACCUGGCAGAAGGAUCAGAAGGAAAGUUGACAAGAUAGUAAAAUCAACAAAGUGCAGACCUGAAUCACAUCAAUGCCA